ACGCUGGCGGCACGCCUAACACAUGCAAGUCGAACGAAGUAGCAAUACUUAGUGGCAGACGGGUGAGUAACAUGUGGGUAUCUGCCCUUUGGCCUGGAAUAACACGAGGAAACUUGUGCUAAUACCGGAUAAGUCUUUACGGAGAAAGCUUUAUGCACCAUUGGAUGAGCCCGCACUUGAUUAGUUUGUUGGUGGGGUAAUGGCCUACCAAGACUGUGAUCAAUAGCUGAUUUGAGAGGAUGAUCAGCCACAUUGGGACUGAGACACGGCCCAAACUCCUACGGGAGGCAGCAGUGGGGAAUCUUGCACAAUGGAGGAAACUCUGAUGCAGCGAUGCCGCGUGAGUGAAGAAGGCCCUUGGGUUGUAAAGCUCUUUCGUCGGGGAAGAAAAUGACUGUACCCGAAUAAGAAGGCCCGGCUAACUUCGUGCCAGCAGCCGCGGUAAUACGAAGGGACCUAGCGUAGUUCGGAAUUACUGGGCUUAAAGAGUUCGUAGGUGGUUGAAAAAGUUAGUGGUGAAAUCCCAGAGCUUAACUCUGGAACUGCCAUUAAAACUUUUCAGCUAGAGUAUGAUAGAGGAAAGCAGAAUUUCUAGUGUAGAGGUGAAAUUCGUAGGUAUUAGAAAGAAUACCAAUUGCGAAGGCAGCUUUCUGGAUCAUUACUGACACUGAGGAACGAAAGCAUGGGUAGCGAGGAGGAUUAGAUACCCUCGUAGUCCAUGCCGUAAACGAUGUGUGUUAGACGUUGGAAAUUUAUUUUCAGUGUCGCAGCGAAAGCGAUAAACACACCGCCUGGGGAGUACGACCGCAAGGUUAAAACUCAAAUGAAUUGACGGGGACCCGCACAAGUAGUGGAGCAUGUGGUUUAAUUCGAAGAUACGCGCAGAACCUUACCAACACUUGACAUGUUCGUCGCGACUCUAAGAGAUUAGAGUUUUCGGUUCGGCCGGAUGAAACACAGGUGCUGCAUGGCUGUCGUCAGCUCGUGUCGUGAGAUGUUGGGUUAAGUCCCGCAACGAGCGCAACCCUCACUUUUAGUUGCCAUCAUUAAGUUGGGCACUCUGAAAGAACUGCCAGUGAUAAGCUGGAGGAAGGUGGGGAUGACGUCAAGUCCUCAUGGCCCUUACGUGUUGGGCUACACACGUGCUACAAUGGUAUCUACAACAGGAAGCAAGACUGCGAGGUCAAGCAAAUCCUUAAAAGAUACCUCAGUUCGGAUUGCACUCUGCAACUCGAGUGCAUGAAGCUGGAAUUACUAGUAAUCGUGGAUCAGCGUGCCACGGUGAAUGCGUUCCCGGGUCUUGCACACACCGC
rnacentral:rRNA from 1 species